CCACAUGCUAAGAAUACAAGGUUUGUGUGAACACCAUUUUCUUUUUUUCUUUUUUUUUUGAGAGACAGGUACGAAAAUAAGUUGCUUCUUUGAACCCAACCCGUUCCCAUUAGGGAUGUCAAUGGCUAUGGAUACCCGAAAUUUUAUCCGAACCCGAAUCCGAAUAAAACGGAUAUAUCCGAUGCUAAAUGGAUAUGGAUUCGGAUAUGGAUAUCAAAAAUAGAAACCCGACGGAUAUGGAUUCGGAUAUGGAUUUUGAUUGUACCCGACCCGAACCCGAACCCGAACCC
rnacentral:lncRNA from 1 species